AUAGUACAUGGGGAGGAUAAUAGCUGGAAUAUUAAUUAUGGAUUCUUAUUUGGAGCAGUUGGAGUAUUAACUGCUAUUGCUAGUC